rnacentral:tRNA from 1 species
GGGUCGCUAGCUCAGCUGGUUAGAGCGCUAUCCUGAUAAGAUAGAGGUCUGAGGUUCGAGUCCUCAGCGACCCA